GUCGUACCGCGCCCGCUGUCGGUCGAGGGGCGGCCGCUGUCGGUGGAACGAGUGGGAAGUUACGCCUGGUGGCGGCUGCUCGCCGCCCCCCGCGGCGGCCUGUCGCGGCAUCCCGCGCCUCCGUCGAAAAAAAAAAAAAAAAAAAAAAAAAAAGAAAGCAAGCCACCGCGGGCUAUGGGGGAGCUGCCCGGCUGCCGCCAUCUUGAGGCGGGGAGUAUGGCGCGGGUCGAGGCGGGUCGGUUGCGGCCAUCCGGCGUGGUCUCAGCCGGCCGUCUCUGGCGAGGCGUUGGGCCGCAGUGGGGCCGAUUGCUUGGGGCCCCGUCGGUCUCCCUCCAUCCGCCUCAUCUCGGUCCCGGCCUCGAGCUGUGCGCAGCCGGUGGGGCUGGGGCGGUCGUGAGUGCAGAACAGAGCGGUUGAGUCCACCCUGCCAACAACCCCGCGCCUCUGCUGCGUUGGGAUGUGUGUUUAGGGGACAGGCGAGAUGGAGAUUGAGGCCGUUUUCUGGCCGUAUACAGUUCCAGCACAUCCAGUGGGUAGUGCAGUGUUCCUUUGUAGCCCUGAUACAUCCCCACCUGCAGCUCUUUGCUAGCUUGUGAAGUGUCUUUGCAUAGCUCCUGCAGUCUAUGGCCAGCAGUGCUUGCCUGUUAGCUAUGGAAGGCACGUAGUUAAUUGAGUUCUAUGCACCCUUCCAUGUCCCUUCAUCUUACUAUUAUCUAUACACAGCUUCACAAUUGACAUUUCUCAUACCAGUCCCUAUAACUACCUCCUAUUUGCCUCACAAACCCUACAACUACUCCAUUACAGCUGUCCCUAGAGACUGAAAUUGUCCUUAAAUACUGAACAGAAGUAUUUUCAACCCAUGAAUAGCUGUACUAUGAUUUCUGAGGCCCAGUGUAACCAUCAUAGCUCUAACAAUUGCCUAGAAAAAAUUACUGGGAAAUCUGAAAAUAUGUAAAAAUCAAACCUGAAUCAACAGAGCAUUAUGUCUACAACAGAAUAAUUUUGAAUAGUAGAAUGGUGCAGUUUUACAGAUGGAACUGGAUCUUUUUAUGGGGAAACUAGUCUGAAAUGCUAUAGCAGUAAUGACACCGUUUGGCUAUUCAACCUUUGAAUCUCUGGGUGAUUGAAGUGCUUACCUUCACUUAUCUAUGACAGUAGCCUUGUCAGUCAGAAACACUGAGAUACAACCAUAAAAAGUCUAAUAAAAAUAGAUAGUGUCAUCUUAUAUAGUUCAUUUGAAGGCAAACUGUAUUUCAGUAGACAUCUCUCACCCUAUCUAUCCAGCAAAUAAAAGUUUUUUUAUUUAGGUGGUAAUGCACUGAAAGCUUGGAGGAUUUGUGCUUUCAUUGACUUCUCAAUUUCUUGUGAGCAACAUGGAGGACUGAGGGGACACUGAGUAAUUUCAGAAAAGAAAAAAAAAAAAAAAAAAAAACAUUGCUGGAAGGAUGUGACUAAUUCCAUGGUAAUGCUUUACCAACUUUCAUCCUAUCCAUGCUGGUAAAGAAAGUUUUCGUUUCGAGGAUUUUAAUACUUGAUAUUGUAUUAUCCUUUCUCUUAUGUCAGGUUGUUGCUUGCAUGCAUAUUUGCUUUGCUAGGUGAACAGGGUGACCUGUCAGUAAGUUGAAGGAUAAAAUCUCUUGGCUGUUGGUUUGUGUUCUUAAAUCAUGGAACUUUGAACUUUUUGAUUGAAAAAUCAUAUCAAACCUAGUCAGGCCUUGGCAUAAGUGUAAUAUAUAUAUAUAUAUACACAUUUGUUGCUACCCUUGAGUUAAUGUGUUUGCAGAAUUUUUAAAUCUAUAUUAACAUCUCAGUCUCUAAAUACAUCAUCACUCGCUAUGUCAGGAGGGUCAUAGCUUCUUUUGUUACUGGGAAAUUGUUGAAUCACUUCAAUGUUUUGACCCUUUCAUCUAUGAAGUUUGUUUGCAGAGCUGUCUGCAUUACUCAACUGGGGCCUAACAGAGACUGAAGUUCUGCUUCAAAACAUUGCAAAUACAUAUAUGUAGAUUUUUCUCAAAUUUCAGAAUUUGAAUUUUUGGUCUUUAUCAAAGUACACAUCUCAUCUUAAUAUUUGAAGAAAUGUCAUUUUUCCUUAGCAACAGUUACAUAUUUCUAGAUAAUCAGUAGAAACACUAAAUCACUUCAUUUGGCUACUGUAACUAAUGAUAGUAUUAAACAACCUUUCAAAUUAAAAUAUGAAAAAAUCUUUUCAUUAGAAGUAGUGCUAAAAAACUUUGUAAUUUUUAUUUAGAGCAAGAUACACUGUAUUUCUCAAAAUAAUUUUAUGGCUUUGCACACAGACAAGUGAAAAUCAAAAUAAUUAACAUUUUUCAACAGUGAAUUAAAAUAAGAUUAGACAGACAUCCCCUGUACUUUGAAAAAUCUCACUUUUUGCUUUCAGACUGAAAACUUCAACAAUUCUACAAAUAAUUGUUUCUAUAUGAAGGAAUUUAUAGUGAAAUCUCUUAGGUAGAGAAAAAUAACAGAGAAGAUGCUACUCCUAUCAUUUUUUUUUCUGAUUAUAGCUUUUAAUGACAUCACUUUUGGAUCUUCAGCAGAAUUACAUUCCUAUCCCUCCCUUCUUCUCAGAGAAGAAUUCACUGAGAGCAGCCUUGGGAAAAAGGACUUGGAUGUCUUAGUGAAUGAAAAGCUUGGUGUGAACCAGCGGUGUGUUCUCGCAGCCCAUACCAACAGCAUCCUGGGCUAGCCAUUCCUCAUAGUACCUGUGGUGGUUUUAAACUAAAAAAGCAGAGAUUUAGAUUAGCUAACAGGAGAGAAGUUUUCACUCAGAGGAUGAUGAGGCGUUGGCACAGGCUGCUCAGAGAAGCUGUGGUUGCCCCAUCCCUGGAGAUGCUCAGGGCCAAGUUGGAUGGGGCCAUGAGCAGCCUGAUCUAGUGAGUGGCAACCUUGUCUAGGGCAGGGGUUUGGAACUAGAUGGCCUUUAAUGUUCCUUCCAACCCAAGCCAUUCUGAUUCUGUGAUUCAGGGCUUUUCUGAAAUAAAGAAUACUACAGAGCUUGGCCAUUUCUAACAAGGUCAUAAUUAAUCCAUCUGGUAUUUCAUACAACAAAGUCCAUUCUUUUUUUGUUAAAUCUGCUUCAUAUUUUUUUUACAUUUCUAAAUAGUUUUCAGAUAUAUUUUGUCAUUUGUGGCAUAUCUAAGAAGUACCACAACACAUUCCUCUCAGCCGUACUGUGCAGAACAAUUAUCCAUGUAUCUUAUGAAAUAGCAUAAAGGCAAGGCAAAAUACUAAAGUAGAUAAGAGCAUUUGAACUGUUUCAGACCAAGGAUACAUCUUCCCAGUUCAUAGAAGUGCAUGCCUAAAGAAGUGCAAGAACAAGCACAUACAUGUAUUUCACUAGGUAUCUUUGCCACUCUGUGUCUCGGGGAUUUUCUAAAACCUUCAUAAUCUGUCAUUAUUGUAAUAUUCAGAGAAUUUCUUCCAAGAAUUUGUCAAGUCUCCCAUAAAACUCCUGCACUGACACCAUGUUUUAUCAAGAAGAGCUAUGCUGUAAGAAUAAAUGCUGUAUAGUAAAUGCUGUAUGAAAAAUAAAAGCCAUUUUGCAUUCUUUGAAGUCUAGUUGUUGUCUUCUGUCUUUUUUUGUUCUAGUGAAUACUCACCAUGGGGAGAAGGUGAAGAGGAUAUGUCUAGAUGUUAUAAAGAAUUAGGCAGCUUAGUACAGAAGUAUAGGCUAUGCUGUGUGGCUGCUUGUCAUGUUUCUUUGAUUACCCGUGUAAGUAGACAAGAACAUAGUUCUACUUAAGUAAAUUAGUUGUUAUUAACUGAUAAGUAAAUACUAUUAAACGCCUAUGCUUUCUUAUAGCCAUAACAAGUCCCUCACUGACUCUUGAGCAUUUCGUCUCCCUCACGAUGCCCUCCUGAUUUGGCACUCUGGAUACCUGUAGUCCAGCUAUGUGUAAUAGAAGUUCUCUGAAUGCCUGUUAAUAUAUUGGAUUUUUAUAGGUUCAGGUGGUAUUAGCUUGGUCCAUAAUCUCAGUUUCUUGUUCAUGUGAACAGUAUUUCCUUUUUAUGCUGAUUUUUCUUCUUCUAUGGAGUCCUUGCCAUUUGCUUGGGACUAAUGUCUAUGUCGGUCUGUACCAGGUAGGUGAGGAAUGGGGACUUCUUUGUCGCUUGGGGAUCGACUGCCAGUGCAGCCUGCAUGUUUGACCCUGAGGGUGAAAGCUGUUGGCCACGCUGCCUCUCUGGCCAGAAGAAUCAGUGGGUAUAUCCACGCUGUGGUUUCUCAGCAAUUUGGACACUUCUGCGAUACUGCUCUGGAAGUCCUGGGUUCUGACAAAGAUGAGUUUGUGUCUUUUCCACUGUACCCUAGCUUCCUGUCCUCUCAUCAGCAAUUGGUGAGACCACCAGUAGCUGACUGUCAGUUUGAUAUCUUGCUAAUACUCUCUCCACACAGUUUUACAACAAAUGUGCUUUCCAGGAAUCCCUCUUUUUUUUUUCCCAUAAGGCACCCUGUUGACAAUUCUGAGUCAGAAGACAUUGACAGUACUAUCAUUUUCAGGGAUAAGGAAGGUACAAGAUGGCAAGAACUGGAGGCUCACAGUGAAAAGCAAACAUAAAACUGAUGACAGCUGGCUUUAUGUGCAUGAGAAGCACUCUGAAAAGUGUCAUACACUCUACAUUUUUAGAUCUUUUGGCUGGUACCUCUGUACUUGCUACACACUAGUGGGAGGAUUUAACAGAGGUGUAGCCCUCCAGCUGUGUUUAGGCCCUAGUAUCUGUAUUAACAAUGUAAUAUGCACAUGCUUCCAGUUUUCUUGUAUUGGAAAGGUGCAUUGAAAAGGGAAGUGAAAUUUCCGUGCACCAAAACUGCACUGUGAAAAGAAUAAAAGCACAACAAGUGGGGAUAAUAAGAGAUUUGCCUUGGCCGUGCACUGCUGGUAUGAGAGAAAAUGCUAUAGCAGUCAUACCCUUAGUUUGGAAACCUGACACAUUAAUCAGUUUUUAAUGUGUGUUACAGUUUGGUUACAUUAAGUUCCUUAUGGACCAGUAUCAAGCACAGCAGUAUCAAUAAUGAUUUUUAUAAUGACAUUAAUAUAAAUCCCCACUGCAGUUUUUUGCAUCUCUUGAGUAAUAACAGUCCAGUAAACAAGGCAGUCAUCAUUCUUCACUAUAUGGUAUAACAAAUGUGAAAUCACUGUGUAGGUGUAUGUUAGACUACAUUAUAUUGUAAACAAACAAAUACAGAUUAUUUUUUGGUUGCAAGGUGAAAUUUGAGAUUAUGCUAGCCACUGAGAAUCCACUUUUCUAUGUAAAAAUGUGGCAGUGCCAGAGCCUCCUGAUUCUAAGCAGUUUUGUACAGAUAUCAGAGAAGGCAUCCAGCUGUCUGGCUUCACGUCAGGCUUUAAAAUUUCUCCCUUAUGAGCUAAAAGGCAGAAGAGUGAGGGUUGGAUGGAAUUAUCCCCUUGUUCUGUUCUGAUUAAUUCAAUCCACUGCAGAAAGUGACGAAGGAUAAAGUAAUUAAUUGUUCACCUGGAGCUGGUUAGGAAUCGUUACUUUCUUGCACUCUGGUGUCCUGUGGGAUCAGUGUAUGUACUUAUCUUUACCACACUGUGGCUGGACUUCGUAACUACUGUGAUGACCGAAUGAGCAUUGCCCUUUCUAUGAAAACAGCAACAACAAAACCAGUUAGCUGAAGUAGAAAAUAAAUGUCAUUUUGGGAAUGCAACUCACAGCAGUCUUUGUGAAAACUCUAUUACCAUCUUCACUGUGAACACAUAAUUUUUUUACAUUUUUGGGGGACUGUCCACUCUGAAGAACAUAUGCCUAGUAGAUCUUCAUUUGUAUUCAGCAUGUGGUUAUAAAUCAAAUCACCCACUUGUUUACAAAGAUUCAUAUUUUUUUGUUGAAGCCAAAUGGGAAUACUUCUUUGCUACACUGGACUAGAGUAGACCAGUAUAGGGUCUUUUGGUCUAGCCUUUGCAAACAGCAGCCUGUGUUUGUGUUUUAAUGCUUUUAAUAUAGAUUCAAAUGCUAUCAAACAGAUAGUUUUAUGAAACAAAGCAAAACAAAAAAAAACUGUGCAGUGGGAGAUAUAGUAUAUGAUCAAGGGCAGUGUGGCCUGCCUUUGACAUAAGUAUGUUCAGUUUUGCAUGGCACUCUUUUCCCCCAUUGCAGUGAGCCUAGAGAAAAACGUAUAUUCAGCCUCUCGUGUAUUUUCAUUCCUUUCUUAAUUUGUUUGCUCAGAUCUGACAAACUCAAAACCUCUUACAUACUAAAUCUCAGAAACUGUUGCAAUUCUGUGUACUUUUGCAUUUUGGUAGUAUCUUAACAUGAGAGGUGUAUCAAAAGACUCAGGAGUGUAUGGCCCCUUCUGUGUAGGCAGAAUCUUAUUUACUGGACAUUCUGUGAAGGUCUUGAGUUCAUUUUCACUGUCAUGUGACACCUCUGAUCAGCUAGAGGCACCACUGUUUUAACAACCACAAGCAUGAAGUCUUUCUGUGCCAACAAUAUCUAAUGACCUUACACAGCAAAAGACCCCUAACAGUGUGGGAGCAUCUGAGCCAUCUCAGGUGUGCAGAGAACCCUCACCAGCCUGCUAGCAACAGUACCAUUGGUAGGACCAGCCAAGAGCAUGGGGUGACAACGUAGCGGGCCCUGGACAUACUUGGGUUAGUUAAGGCAAAGGUCAGAACUCAAGGAGAAAAGUGAAUGAACAAGAAAUGUGGCUUAGGCAGCCAUUAGAAUGAAGAGUCAAUAAGACAUUUUGGAGUUGUUCUUUGGGGUCAUCUUUUUUUAUUUUUGUUUUUGCUUGCUUACCCCAAACACUGAGUUUGCUCAAAGCAUGUGAUGCAUAAAAUGCAAGACUACCCCUACUGCAAGGGCUCCUCUAUCAAAGUAUCAUUGUGGGGUUUUUUUUACAAGUUUAUACAAUUUUACUGUGUUACAAUCUGUUAAACACCCUUCCAUAUUUGCACACUUGCACAUUUUAAUAAAAAAUGUUUUCCUCUCAUGUUUUCCUGGAAUUUAAUGCAACACUUGAUGAAGAGUAUAAAGUAGAGGUUUUUUUCAAAAAUUGAGAGAUGUAAAAAAUUUAAAUGUUACUAGUUUCUGGUGGUCACUUUUUUUUUCCUUUCUAAUGAGAGUCAUCAAAAAGAUGCCUCUGAAAUAUAAAAGUUAACUUUGGACAUUUGAGUCUUGAAGAUUUUAUGGAAAGAGUAAAGAAAAAGAAUUUAUUUUUAAAAAGAUAACUUAAAGUCCUUUCAAUUCAUUAUGCUUGGGAAUUACUUGAAAUAACUAAAUUACUCAAAUAAGGAAAUAAUGUGCUUAGAAUUAAGUUUAAACAUUUGGUUACUCAUACAAGAAUUUUUUUGAGAUGAAAAUAUACAAUAUUAAUUGUAGUCUUAUUAGAAUGUAAUUUUAUUCUUCACUUAGAAGAAAUAACUGAAAAAAAAAACUCUUUUGAACUAAUGAUUGAUGAAAAUGGUUGAAAUAAUGUUGCAGAUUAUGAACUAGUGAUUGAUGCUCAUGUUAAUAUGAUUAUGAAUAAGCUAUGUACUGUUGGUAAGAGAUUUUUUACAGUAUUAGUCACGUUUCUGUUUUCUGAAGAAGUGCAGGAUGCCUGCACUUACCAAUUCAUUAUAUCAAGCACAGACAAAUGAAAAAAUAAAUCAUAACCCUAAGUGUGAUAAUUUAGUAGAUAAUUCCCAUAAAACUUUUAUAUUACUAUAUUCAUUGAGCUGUUGUUUUCUAAACAUAAACAUAAAUUUCAGAUCCUGUUCAUUCUUGCUGAGCAUUAACUGCUAUAUGCCAGCUGAGGUAUUUUCUUAAUCUGUUGUGAAUCUUAGAAAUCCUAUUGCACUUCAGAACUUGGUCUGUGUUUCAGAAGGUAUUAAAAGCAAUAUAUGUAUAAAUUGCAGUCUUACUUUUCAACACUUCUAAGAAAACCAUGAGUUGAAUUUCUGAAUUUUGUUCAAGGUUUUAGAUGAACACAUUUUAAAAUUAUCAUGGUUAAAUGCAUGUGUCAUGAAUUAGAAUUAUUUUAAGUAACUGUAGCAUGUUUUGUCUUUUAUUUUUGGCAAGAUAUAGAGGGAACUGUAAAAUCUAGAUUGUGCAUAUUGCUCAUUGCCAGCUUCAGUGUCUCUUCAAAUACAACAUUAUCAUCCAAAGGAGAAUAAAUACUGUUUUUGAAAAUAAGAGAACAGAACCAUCAAGUGCAAAGAUUUUAUCCAGAAUCACACACUGGGCCAUUAGAAGAACAAGAAAUUUGCAUCCUCGUGUUCAGAACUAUGAUUGGAAUAUCUGACUUCUGUGUCUUGGUAAGUAUCACACAACUUUAUAUCUCUUUAAAGCAGACAUUUCAUGUCAAAAUUGUGCCCUGAGCUUUCUGCUAUCAGAGUUCAGGCACUUUACUGUCAUUCAAAGAGUACCAUGUGCAAGUUGAUGUUCAGUAGCUGCAGAGAGACAAUAAGCAAUUUUAGCAUGUGUUCUAAAAGCUCUAUAAAAUUGCAUGCAUUGAUUCAGUAUAGAUGGAAGAGAAGGAGUUUGACUGAAAACAUAACUAAAGCUGUGGUCCUGGCUUGUAUUUUGGAGAGUAUCCAUACAAUUUAUAGGAAGAUUUAGUUGGUGUGGGAUGGACUCAACGUCCCACUUGAAGGCUGAAACACAUGCAGCUCUCUGGAGGUAGCCUGUGCACGUGUUGUGCACUCAAACUUUUUCUCCCGAUAAAUCCGUAGUGCAGACCAUCAGAGUCACAAGGCACUUGACUGAUUCCCCCUGGUAAUAGUCAUUCUUUGGGUCACUGAGAGCAAAACUGUGGGAAAGGGUAGAAGGAGCAUCAUGGAGGUACGUUUCUGCAAAUAAGACUGAAGAGGACUGUAAAAGGAAGGAGAUAAUAUUUCCUAAAUGAAUGCCUAAAAGAAAACUGUUAAGAGCUAAGUUGUCUUAGCAGCUGCACAUCUGAUGCCUUUUAAUAUUAAACAUCUUAGCAGACAUUAUUAUAGUAGGUAGAACUUCAAGGAUCAUAAAAGAAUAAACUAUCAUAUCAUAAAAUGUUUGUUACACGUAAUACAUUUUUACAAACUGUAUCUUAUUACACCUUGCCUCUUUUGUUACGUGAUACCGUUUUCUAUGUGUUACCUCUCCUUGCAGGAUGCUGCUGCUGCAUCUAGCGGUUGAGUUGUACAGCAAAGGAAGGCUUUAUGGCAGUGUGCAAAGAUUAGGCAUGGGAUGUCCCAGUAUCCUCAGCCACACAUUUUGUAUGUAAAGACUGCCACACAGUAAGUGAACUAUAGAGACAGCUCCGUGUUUCAAAUGAAAGUUUAAUCAUGGCAUUUCUGGAAUUCUAAGCAUAACUUCGCAAAUUUAAUAUUCUUUCAAUCUGUUCUUUGGUAGGGAAUUUCAAAAGAAUAAGCAUCAAAGCUAAUUCUAUUGUCAUUUAUAUUCAUAAAACAUCAAACUCUCUUUGACUUUUAGGACACAUACUCAUGAUUAUAUGUACCUCUCUGUUUGUCUGCAAACCCUCAGAGCCAGGAGAGUGCUUUCAUACAGCUUUAGUAUAAAGGUUUAUAUACUUCCUCAAUAGUUGAGAGAGUAGUUAAUGGGAAUAUUUAGGAAUGGGAUUCUUGAAUGUAAGUACUAUAAGAUAUAUAUACUAAUGUUGGUAUAUGUUUUCUUAAAAAUAUAAAACGUUGUGUAUACAGCAAUAGGAAGUUUACAAGUUUUCACGAAACGUUUCCAUUGUAAUUAGUUUGCAUUUUUUCCCUUUCUCUCUUUUGGAGAGAUCUGUGUGUCUGUUCCCUAGAGAUCUCGGGAUUAUUCCUCUUCAGCCACUUUCAGCUGAAAAUAAUUUUUUCCACAUUUUCUGUUUUAAUACAUGAUGCAAAAUCACUGUUAUUGUAUUGGAUUCUUCACUCAAUUUAUAUUGCAUUUUCCUCAUCUAGGUUCAAAUAGAUUUAAUAAAAAUAUAAAAAGUAAUAUCACUGGUGUUGGCCCUUUUGAUUAAGUCUCCAGGCUUCAUUGUUAGGAAAUCUAUGAAGUUAUUAGUUUACUUAGCACCACAGUUAAUUUCAAAGUAUUAUUUUUUCACUGCACACCAAAUAAAAUUUCAGUUUAUGCUAAUAAUUAAUGUACAACCCUACCUGAAAAGUGACUACAUAAUAAGACACCUUUUUUAUUAGACAAGGACUCUAUGUGUACAGACAAGAUAAAGAUAUGGGGUGAGCCCUGGAAAUCUCAUAAGCGGUAUGGAGAUGGGGAAAGAAUUAUAUUAGACAUGAGGAAAAACUAGCCUUAGCAGUUUCAUGUAAGCAGUGUAGGAGUUCUGGUCCUUUUACUAAAAGAAGAGCCUAGAAAUUGCUUCUCCUAAAGAUAAAAGAGUUAAAGGCAGAGCCUGAGCAAGCAUUUGCUUGCUUCUUUUUCUGCUUCAGGAGGAAGCAAGUGGUUUGGGGCCAGAACAAGUGCAGUUGCCCAUUACAGAGGGUAGCUUGCCAGGCACUGACUUUCUCCAGUGCUCCCUGGCCUUUUGUCCUUAUUGGCACACAUUUACACUUCCUUUGAAAACACUCUGACAAGGGCAACCAAAGAGUGAGUGGUAGCAAGGCAGAGGCUGAGCAGCACUUAAGAAUAAUAAGAAAUAAAUACAACCAGAGGAGGAAAAUAUCUGGAAGCUACUCCAGGGCUGGUCAGUUACACGGUCAGUGUGGGAGCAGCUGUAUACUAGUUUAGGGAAUGCGCUGUUCUUUUAGCAACCUCCACUGCCCAACUAAAUCUACCUUGCAGUGCCUGAGAUCCAAGAUGUACAGAAGUUUUGAAUGCAUAAUAUGUCAGGUAGCCUGAAUAUUCUAAGGUAUGUUUGUGUGAAUAAAUCUGUGCAGACAGUGACUGCUGCCCAGCAGUCAUAUUCUAAUUUCUAGUUGGUGGAACAAUAAAGGGAGAACAGGGGAGUCAGCUCAGAAGUGUCACAAAGCCUCCCCAUGGGACUUCUAAUAAAGCUGUUCUGACAUUUACGAGUGGAUCUUCAAAUAUGAGAAAACUGGAGUUCUUAUAUCAGUCCAAAGCAAAAUAAACAUAAAAUUGUCAAGCCUUCAGAAUCAAACUUCCAUAGCAUAUGCAGCUUUAACCAAGGAAAACAAUCCCUAAGGACAAAGAUGGUCUGUCACCAGAAACAUACAAGAAAAAUAUUCAAUAUCUAUUUCAUAUUGGACGAAAUAAUUCUGCCACAGCAUCCAGGAUAAGCACCUGUCUGUCAAAUGACAGAGUAGGGAACCCAUCAAAAGAUGUGGAUUGAUAGUGACUGUCAGCCUUGGAAAUCUGAAAUACAGAUUCCAUUCUUUUCCUCACCAAGAUAAACUAGGGGAAACUGAGUCCUGAUCCUUUCUAUUUGACAACGCCAGUAGCCAUGAGGCAGAUUAGUGUUUGUGUGGCACACCAGACUUUUUUUACUUUCGUAGCAGCAUUCAUGGGAGCCAGUGUAAAAAAUAUAUAUAUAUGUGCCAGCUUAGUGAAGUGAAAAUAACUAGUGGGAGAGGACUUAAGAGAAUUCCAGAAACGCAGGUAGGAAACUUCAUUAGUCCUGGUGCUGCUGGAAGAUUUUUAUCUAUUUUUACGUUUAAAAAACGAAUGUAGGAAGAAGCAGUUAGCAACAUGGUAGUGCAUCAUCAUGUUUUUCUUGACGUGUUAACCAGACGGAAUGUGUCUGCUAUAGGAGAAUAUUAGUUUAGUAGUAAUAUCUCCUCUUCCAUAUCAGUAGCAGAAUGUCACAAACUGCAGAGAGAAAGUGAGAUGAAAGAAACAGAUGAUAAGGAAAUGCUUUUUCACGUCUUUUGAAUGUUAGUUUCUAUUAUGAUGGAUUUCACAGAGUCAGAGAAUCGUUUAGGUUGGAAAAUGCUUUCAAAACCACCAAGUUCAAUUGCAGCACUGGUGCUGAUUUCAACCAGCCUAGCCACGUGAAAAGAACUAGUCUGCUUCCACACAAAAAGACUGUUGGAAAUCUUCAAAAUGUUAAGAAAGGCUAUGCUUGUGCAACUUCAGUGUACUUUUGCAGAUAUUGUCUGUGAGCCAUAUGAUCCCAAAAGUAAUGUAACUUUUAAAGGCCAUAUUUCAGCCUUAAAUACAUGUGAAGUAUUUCCUAUUGUUGUUCAAAACGGUUGCAUUAAUUUCCAACCAUUUCAAGAUAAGGGCUCUGCUUUUGCAUUCUCUUAAACGCCAUUGGCCUCCUGCAACAUUUUCAUGGUCUUGCCUCUUUUACCGUUCCAGUCUUUUUUGUGUUUCUGUAUCCCAUUUACACAACUUCUGCUUUUGAGUUAGACUCCCAGUGUACAUCUUCCAGUGCCUCUUCUGUUCCUCACACUUUUUAACCUGUAAGAGUAUUUGACAGUGCCCAUGUUUAUACCUCCUGUUUUUCCCCAUAAAUAGAAUGACAGCCAGUGCUGGUAAUCUAGCGGGUGGCAAUCCUAGCAGGGGGUUGAAACUGAGUGAUUGUUAAGAUCUGUUCCAACCCAAGCCAUUCUAUGAGACUAUAAUUAAUGUUGCUGAGGUAAUGUGGUAACUGGAGUUGGGAUAGUUUUCAGGGCAAUUCUUAUAAUUAACUUCUGGGUUUUUGUGUUUUUUUUCAGUCUGUUUUCAGCUGAACUAGAUUAGCUUAUAUGGCAAUCUGAAAGCAAGCAUGAGUUUUAGAGAAAUAUACAGAAAACUUGUCCAUCCAACUGACUUCAACCCUACUGAGAGUAAUGGGAAUGAGUGGACAUCUAACAGAAAAACUAAAAAAAAAAAGAAAAAAAAAGAAAAAAUAAUAAUGUUGCCUGUUGCAUUCUAAAAUGAGCACACCAUGAGUGUUUCUCAUUAGGGUUUAAACUAACUAACUAAUAAACAAAUGGAGACUAAGAGCUAGGAUGUCGCAGAAAAAGUCUGCAGUCUAUCUAGGUGCAAACUUGUGCAUUAUAAUAAUGAUAAAAUAAUUUUAAAUUCAGACCAAGGUCGAAAUAAGAAAACAUUUAGCAGUUUGUCUGUAGAGGAUCAUAUAAAUUGCCUGAGGGCUAAGGCAAGUGGGAGCAUUUAUGUAGGCCUUAGGAAUGCAGUGAGACAGUUCAGAACAGACAAAAAUAAAGGUUUUUUUAAUAUAUAUUAAAAGACCACAUAAAUUUAAACUGGAGGAAGCCCUUCUACAGCUUACCGGGGUUUAAGUGAUUACCUCAGCACUUGAUUUAUGUCAUCCAUUAUCAGUUGUGAUGCGUAAUGGGAAUGGGUCAUCAGCUGAGCCAAACUUGUAGCCCAAUAGAUUGCUCUGGAGCCACUGCCUAUACCGCCUAUACCUAACUAGUUCAAAUGCCAGUAGCUCUCACAAAAUGAAUCAGAUUUUUUUGAGUCACUGAAACAAAACCUUCUACUGUUAGUGUUAUUGCUACUGAAAUAACAGUGAACUGUUCUUUCACAGGAAUCCUUCUAUUAUGCCAUAUAAAAUGCCAGAUCAUGACCAAAAGAGAGGUAGACAAAGCAAAAUCAGGUAAUAUUAAGAAUAUUGUCAUUUUAAUAUCCCUCAAAUAUGGGUAUGUUUUGUUUUCCUUAAGUAUUAGUUUUAUUUAUGAGUUGCUUUUUUUCUUUCUCAAACAGUAAAGGAGAGAUUUAUUGGAAUGACCGAAACAGUGAAGAAAUGCAGAGAGAGGUCUUACUGUCAUGAACGGGCACCUCAUAAACCCUGUCCUGUGUGGAAUGGUGCAUGUAAGUGUUCAGCAAAACAAAUAGAAGGUGUCUUACCAUGUUUCCCAAACCUAAGCAGAUGAAUGACACUCUGAAGUUGGUAUGAUCAACCCUACACCUUUGCAGUCUUGAGCGCUGGACUAACUGCUCAGAGCUGCUUUCAAGCACCAUCUGUUGUCACAUGAUUCUGCAUGCCAGAUCCUCAUAAAAAAGUCUUUCUUGGUUUUAGAAACUGAAGAGUGAAAAAGUUAUUAGAAGAUUUCAAACCAAGGGAACUGAAUAUGUAAUGAGCACAAUGAAUUAAAGAAGCAUUCUAUGCUCUCUGCUUUUCAUAGCCAUGGAUUGAACACUCCUCUGCAUUAAGAUAAGAAUUUUUCUCUUUGCAUGGAACAAUAAAGAAAUCUUCAGUGACUUUGACUUAUUGGCUUUUUAAAUUUGUAAUGUGUUGUGUUUUCCAGUCGUGCUUUCCAAUGGUUUCUGCACUUGCAAUCAUGUAAUGACUUAAAAGGCUUGGCUGUCAUUGAGAUGAUACAUUUCUAAUUUUGAUUAUGUGAAAGGUUGGAAGGUAUAGUUCUUACUUUACCUAAAACAAAGGCACACACACAUACACACACACACACACACACAAAAACAAAUUCUCAGGAAUUUGG
ensembl:lncRNA